rnacentral:lncRNA from 1 species
UGGAAAUGUAUCAGCUGUGAAAACAUUAUAGCCUGAGGUAGCAGCAACUUCCGUACCAAGAAGUGAUUGUGUCAGCAUUGAAUAUGCUACAUUUCUAUACAUUCUGAUGCCAGCAGGAUGCCUACUGCCUCACUUAUUGGGGCAAAAAUCGUAAAUGCGCAUUCUUCAUGAAUUUGCCAUCGUGACUUAUCCAUCUCUGUCUUUGUUAACAGGAUUCUUACCCUCCAUCUUCCCUUAUCUCUGGUGAUUCAACGUGGUAUAAUGUGAUACAGGAACAUCAGUGGCGCCAGUGAGAUAAAGCAUGGGAUUGCCCCCCGGAGACAGGAACCACACUCCUAUUCCUGAGGUUGAGGUCCCUGGCCCCAGAGGGCCACAUGAUAGACGGCUAGAAGCUAGCUCUGAGGAGCUCUGGAACGUCUAGGAUGCUGUGACAGGGUGCUUUCACUAUGAGCUGAUGAUCAGGGAAGAGUGGAGAUGAACUGGAAGAAAGGAGGGAUGCUAUUUUUUGCCAGAGAUCUGUAAAUGCGGAGCUCUGUCGACGUGGGCUGGUGUGCUUUGUUUAUCGUGUGAGUAUUUAUUUUGUGUAUUUUCAGAAGAUGGUGGCCUACUUAUUUUGUGC